GAAAUGUGGUCACAACUCACAAGUAUUGGACAAUUUUUUUGUUUGUAUAAGGCUCUUCAGUCCCAACCCCUAAAAACCUAUGAUAAGCCAAGUGGCAGAGGAUGAUGGAAAAGCAUAUCACUUUCUUGUGCAACACUUGGCAUUGUUAUACUCCAAUAUCUCUCGAUACGUUUUGGGUAGAGAUAACUCUUUUUUUACCUUGUGAUGGUAUCGACGGGCCUUAUGGGCUUUCAGUGAUGUUUGUUAACUAUGUGUAUUUGUUAUGGUAUGAAUUUAAAAAAAAAAAAACAUACGAGGAAAAACGGAAUUUUGAAGAGAAUUUGGGAG